AUAAUAGCAAAGCCCAAUACUGUAACGUUUGUUAGUUUUUUUAGUAACACAGGUGGAAGAUAUGAACUAAACGGAAUCAAAAGAAGCUAAAAAGAUUAACCAAGCUACGAGCUAUAUCGACAUGCGCGAUGGAGUGUGAUAUUAAAAGCGAAGACGAACUCGAAUGGAAGGGAGAAUUUAUGUAAUAUGGAGCAACAGACAUUGGAACAUGAAGGACGACAACGGCGAUUUUAUAUAAGAACCAAAUGGAUGAUCCGCUUUAACUGAACAACAAUUCAGCUACAGACAGAAGUACAUCCAGACAUUAUCGGGUGAUGCUUUUGAUCUGUGCUAUUAACGUCUGUUGUUAUAUUCGGUUAUUACAUCGGCUUUCAAGUUACAGGUGGCAAAAUACGGACGAAGAAAGGAUAUUUAUAGAAGAAUGGCUAAAUAUUAACGAAGGAAGCUGGAACGGUCUGGAAAAAGU